rnacentral:rRNA from 1 species
CUGUGAGACAGGUGCUGCAUGGCUGUCGUCAGCUCGUGUUGUGAAAUGUUGGGUUAAGUCCCGCAACGAGCGCAACCCUUAUCCUUUGUUGCCAGCGGUUCGGCCGGGAACUCAAAGGAGACUGCCAGUGAUAAACUGGAGGAAGGUGGGGAUGACGUCAAGUCAUCAUGCCCUUACGACCAGGGCUACACACGUGCUACAAUGGCAUAUACAAAGAGAAGCGACCUCGCGAGAGCAAGCGGACCUCAUAAAGUAUGUCGUAGUCCGGAUUGGAGUCUGCAACUCGACUCCAUGAAGUCGGAAUCGCUAGUAAUCGUAGAUCAGAAUGCUACGGUGAAUACGUUCCCGGGCCUUGUACACACCGCCCGUCACACCAUGGGAGUGGGUUGCAAAAGAAGUAGGUAGCUUAACCUUCGGGAGGGCGCUUACCACUUU